rnacentral:rRNA from 1 species
UGGCUCAGGACGAACGCUGGCGCGUGCCUAACACAUGCAAGUCGAACGAAGCUUGACGAACGAUUCUUCGGAUGAAUUCUGAUAUGACCGAGUGGCAAACGGGUGAGUAACGCGUAGGCAACCUGCCGUUGAGAUGGGGACAACAUCCCGAAAGGGGUGCUAAUACCGAAUGUUGUGGUGAAUCCGCAUGGAUUUACUACUAAAGAUGACCUCUAUUUAUAAGUUAUCGCUCAACGAUGGGCCUGCGUCUGAUUAGCUAGUUGGCGGGGUAACGGCCCACCAAGGCGACGAUCAGUAGCCGGACUGAGAGGUUGAACGGCCACAUUGGGACUGAGAUACGGCCCAGACUCCUACGGGAGGCAGCAGUGGGGAAUAUUGGGCAAUGGGCGCAAGCCUGACCCAGCAACGCCGCGUGAAGGAAGAAGGCUUUCGGGUUGUAAACUUCUUUUAAGGGGGAACAGUAGAAGAGGGUACCCCUUGAAUAAGCCACGGCUAACUACGUG